AGAUAACCGAAAGGGCAUAAAAGCCCAGCAGCUGGUGAUUGGACCUGUGUAAAAUGAGUGUGUGCUUUCCAUCAUUUCCUUCACAGCCUGCAGUCCAUGUAGCUGUAACUGCUUCUGUUAGGCAUGACUAUAAAUCAAGACCAUUUGAGUAGCUUUGCUGGGACUAUGAUAGAAUCAUGAAAUCAUCCAGGCCUUUAAAAAUGUUCAUCACAACAUUUAAUCUGGACAUCAUUUCUAGCAAUUACCACCAU
rnacentral:lncRNA from 1 species